AUGCUGGGGCAGGGCCGGGCCCUGCCACCAGCUGAAAAGAGUCUGUCAGAAGCCGCCAGCGGAGAAGGAGAAGCGACAGAAGGAGGAGCUGCUCCCGCCAGAUGCCGCCGCUCCCCUCUGCCGCAUUCACCCGCCAGCCGGCCACCCCGGUACUGCAGUGCCGUGCCGUGCCGCGCCGCCCCUUCCCCGGCCCUUUAUGGCCGCCACGGCCCCCGGGCGGAGGAGCCCACUCGCCGCGCCCCUAGCACCGCCGGGGCGGCCAGCUGCCGCCUGGGCGGCAGCAUCGCGGCCCGGGGCGGCUCCGUAGCAGGUGGGGCCGGGGGCAGGCGGAAGAAGGGUGCUGAGGAGGAGGGCGGUGGGCGCGGAGUGCAGCCUCCUGCCGGACGAAGCGCUCAGCCACAGGGACGACCCCCACCUCCCUGCCCCACAGGUCCGGCCGUGCCGGGGGGGGAGGGGAGAAAGGGGGGGCUGCCCUGCCCCGCUCCGCCCAGCCCAGCCCAGUGCUGGCGCAGGGGGCGAGCGGUGCAGGGGGCCGUUAACGGUCGCCCUGACAGGGCGGGGCGAGGUGCGCGCCCUCUCCGUACCUCUCUGAGGAGACUCCCGCUCGGGGUGGCGGGGGUUGUUUCUCUCAGGAGGCGGCAGCCGUUUCGGGCACUGUCCGGCCCCGCUCGUCCUGCGGCUGCACGUGCGGCGACGGGAGUGGCGAGGGGCAGGAGCAGGGCCUCCCCCGCGGGGCCGUGGCCUCAGCGGACGCCAGAGGAUCCGAGGGAAAUCUUCCUUCCCUGCGCCGCACCGGCCCCUUCCCCUUCAGAGGCUUCAAGACAGAAGUCGCGCUGUCACAUGUCUCCUCGCCGGCGUGGGAGGGAGUUACCCGGGGCGCACCGCCCCGGCCCGGCCCCGGCCCACCUCAGCCCGCCCGAGCUUGCCUCAGCUGCGGGGUAGCCGGCGCGGGGUGCCUCGUGAGUGUCGCCUUAGCAAGCGCUGAUUUCAAAACUCCUCUGCAAAAAGCGCUUUAAUGUAGAAAACUUUGGUUCGAGACCAGAACGUCGUGAGGCUGGUGCAAAGAUGACACCCGAUAAUAACUCUGAAUGUCUUCAUCAGCUGCUGCCAGGCUACACCCAGACAAGCCAUCUGCCACCCAGGAAACUACAUACUAGCAACCACUACACGUACUGAAGCCCUGCUUCCUAGGAAGUGGCUGGACAUUGCCUGCUGAUGGGAAGAAGAGAAUAAAUCUUUUGGUUUUCCUUUGCUUCCACAUGCAGCCUUUGCUUUUGCUUUAUUAAACUGCCUUUAUCUUGA